UAAGGAAUAUUGCUCAAUGGGAGAAAUCCUGAAGCAGCAACGCCGCGUGGAGGAUGAAGGGUCUAUGACUUGUAAACUCCUGUAAAGAAGGAAAAAAUUCCCAUUAGAUGGGAGAUGAUGGUACUUCUGGAGUAAGCCCCGGCUAACUACGUGCCAGCAGCCGCGGUAAUACGUAGGGGGCAAGCGUUGUCCGGAUUUACUGGGUGUAAAGGGUGCUCAGGCGGAUUUGUAAGUCAGAGGUGAAAUCUUACAGCUUAACUGUGAAACUGCCUUUGAUACUGCAAGCCUAGAGUAUGGAAGAGAGUGAUGGAAUAUCUGGUGUAGCAGUGAAAUGCGUAGAUAUCAGAUAGAACACCAAUGGCGAAGGCAGUCACUUGGUCCACUACUGACGCUAAAGCACGAAAGCGUGGGUAGCAAACA
rnacentral:rRNA from 1 species